rnacentral:lncRNA from 1 species
AGUAAAAACUCAAGGAUGUACCCAGGCCAUCUGUGUUUACCAGAAAGGGCCAUUUUUCCAUCCCCCUGACGUCCAGGAAGGCACUCAAGAAGGAACGGAGCGUGCCUCCCUCCGGGCCUGUCCCCCGUCCCUGCCAGCAGGCCCAGCUGGCUGCGUUCUGAGAUCAAGCGCUUUGAAGAACGGGGCCACUGCUUCCUUCACCAGGGCCUGGAAACGCCCAGCCGAGCCGUGGCUGCAGUGCGAACCCGUUUCCUUUCAGGUGAAAAGGUGUUGCUAAGACUAACAGGAUGCAUCAGUGCUUGUCUUUUCCAGAAACCAACCAGCCACAUAAGAAAUCUUUAAUUAACAAACAUAUUUAUAAGAGUGGAAAAAAUCAGAUCAGUGGGAGUGAAGCAACUGACCCGAGUUCUUCCCUGGCCGCCCGGGAGAAGAUGAUGGAGACAGCACGUAACAUUCUGUUCCUCUGCUUUGCUCAUCUCCAGGCUGUCGGGAUGAUGGAAAAAGUGCAUCUUACCCUGCCUGUCUCUCUCCGGUUCCUAGAAAUGCUGCCACAUGGGGAGGAAGGUGACUGCAGUCACAAGGGAUGUACAUUGGCUCUGAUCACAACAUGGCUGCAGGACGGAGAAGCUGCUCCCCAGGACGCCUGGCUCCCACUCCUUGCAGACCUGGGUUCAAGUUCAGCCUCCUCAGUUGCAAACCUGGGGCCUUCCUAUUCGGAGUCUCUCUGCUGCCCAUUUGGCAAGCAUUGAGUUAGUAAAAACAAACCCCCAGCAUUCUAAUGAGGAUUAAUGAGACUGUCAGCUCCAGGUGGACAGGUAGCUUGUGAAGGGCUGACAGAUUGCCACUUUCCUUGCCCUCCGUGAACAGUUGUUAGGGACGUGAAUGAACAAAUCACAUUAGCCCUGGGCCCACAAUAAAUUACACUGAUGUCAGUUUCUCCUUUCACUGCCAGGAAAAGUUUAGUUCAAUAAAUGUUUCCUAAGCCUUUGCUCUGGAUGUGCUCAACGAUGUGGGGGGUACAAAAGAGAAAACCACAUGAGCACCCCUCCAGACUCCAGGAUGAUCUGAACUCAAGUAAAACACAAGACAGGAUGAGCUAAGUAGACUAAGAAAAGGAGGCCAUGGGAGGCUGGCUUGAUGGGGGCAGGACCUGCUUGACCAGCUGGGAAAAGGGAGUGAGGAAAGAAGUCUUUCUGGAGGAGGCUGAAUGCCAGUGUGCACACAGAAGACGGUGUUAAGAGCAAUUGUGGGGUACACUUGGGUUUUAUUAGACCAAGGGAUCCAGGGUUGCCCAGGCCCCCCUACACAUGAGAGAUCAAAGAUGAUAUUAAUGGCUGGACUUGUACCCAAAACCUCCAAAUGGAAUUUGCUGGAGCUUUUUCGGAAGUUCUUAAGCCCAAAUUCAGAUUUUGGAAUCAUGUCACCAGCCAGCCAACCGUGUGGGACAAGAGACCAGAGUUGAAAGAACUUGAGCACGUGCCUGA